UUUUGAUGUUUUUUUUUUUUUUUUUUUUUUGUUUGUUUGACUCU
rnacentral:ribozyme from 15 species